rnacentral:misc_RNA from 1 species
GCAAUUUUGUGAUUUGGUGGUUUGAUUUUUGAUGAUUUGUUUUAACGGCUGUUUGGCUUCCAGGAAAAUAAGAGAGCUUAUGUAAAACACGAGAAUUGUGAAGUCUCAGUUGUGCCUUAAUGGAACUAAUUGCGUUAUUUUAUUUUGUACAUAAUUUUCUACAACAAAAGAUAAGUUGAAUUUAUUAGUUAUAAAAAAAAUGGUUUCGGUCAAUUUCUUUUGGGGAGGGGAAGGGAGUUAGCUUUUAUACAUCUGUUGCAAUUUAUCUUAUUAUUUUAAUUUAUCUGUUUUCUGGGGCCUAGAAUUUUAUGCCAACACUCAACUUUGUUUAAUUUUGGUAGUUCUCCUAGUUUAGAUUUUCAAGUUUGUAGGAACUACUGUACAUGAAUGAGAUUUUUUACUUCACCAUUUUUUGAAGUAAUUUCAUAAAUGUAAUCAAACAGAAAAUUAGUGGAAAAGUUAUUUUUUU